AACGAACGCUGGCGGCAUGCCUAACACAUGCAAGUCGAACGAGACCUUCGGGUCUAGUGGCGCACGGGUGCGUAACGCGUGGGAAUCUGCCCUUGGGUUCGGAAUAACAGUUAGAAAUGACUGCUAAUACCGGAUAAUGUCUUCGGACCAAAGAUUUAUCGCCCAGGGAUGAGCCCGCGUAGGAUUAGCUAGUUGGUGAGGUAAAGGCUCACCAAGGCGACGAUCCUUAGCUGGUCUGAGAGGAUGAUCAGCCACACUGGGACUGAGACACGGCCCAGACUCCUACGGGAGGCAGCAGUGGGGAAUAUUGGACAAUGGGCGAAAGCCUGAUCCAGCAAUGCCGCGUGAGUGAUGAAGGCCUUAGGGUUGUAAAGGACUCUUUUACCCGGAUGAUAAUGACAGUACCGGGAGAAUAAGCCCGGCUAACUCCGUGCCAGCAGCCGCGGUAAU
rnacentral:rRNA from 1 species